rnacentral:tRNA from 1 species
UGAGAUAUAGCAUAAUAAAAUGUUUUCCACUUACACUGGAACGAUAGCCUCUAUGUUGGCUUAUCUUAA